GACUGCCAAAAGCAAAGAACUUGAUAUUGCUUUGAGUGCUUAUCCUUUUUAUUUCUCCCAAACAGUAAUGACAAAAGGGCUGAUGGGUGAAUUUUGAGAAGAGGUGAUGAUUCUAAGAAGCCACAGCCUCAGAGGAAUGGAGCCAAAACAAUUAAAAAAGGGUGUCGGUUGCUUGCUGGGAUUGUCUAGAAACCAUAAGCAAAAUAGAUAAGUUUGAGCUUCAAUCACUUUUUUUAUUGAAUAUAAUUUUUUAUGACAAGGAAGAGGGAAGUUGUGUAAAUGCAGCUGUCCAUUGCUAAGGCCUAAGAAUCUUCUCAUUCACAUUACCUUUAUUGAUUGGUUUCUUUUUUUCU